CAUUAUCGUAUUAUAAACUUGAACAGGCUGUUGCUGGCUCUCCCUCUGGAGUGUGUGUGCACGCUUGUCUCAUCUUUAUUAUUUCUCCAACUGUGCACAUUUUGUAGAUCCUGGAAAGGCCUUUUAUGAAUGUUCUCAUUCGAGUAGGGACUGCUGUYGCUUUUCUUUGAAAGGCCGGCUUUGCCUUUUUGCCUUCCAGGUCUAUGUCAUUUUCCACAACCUCUCAAACGAGUUUAGAAUGUCUUAUUAUGUGAAAUAUACAACUUUCAGCAACGGAUCUCUUGGCUCUCGCAUCGAUGAAGAACGCAGCGAAAUGCGAUAAGUAAUGUGAAUUGCAGAAUUCAGUGAAUCAUCGAAUCUUUGAACGCAUCUUGCGCUCCUUGGUAUUCCGAGGAGCAUGCCUGUUUGAGUGUCAUUUGACUUAUCAACCGCUUCAUGGUGAACAUGGACGUGGCUUUGGAUGUGGGGGUCUUUGCAGGCUUUUUGAAUUCUCAAAGGUCGGCUCCCCUGAAACGCAUUAGUGGCAUCUGAGCUGCUACUAUAGGUGUGAUAAAUUAUCUAUGCCUUUGGUAUGCUGCAUGAACAGAUUGYGCUGCUUACAACGACGAAAAUAACUUGACAAACUUGACCUCAAAUCAGGUAGGACUACCCGCUGAACUUAAGCAUAUCAAUA
rnacentral:rRNA from 1 species